UGAUAGCAAUAGAGCAAAUAACAUGGG
rnacentral:piRNA from 1 species